rnacentral:rRNA from 1 species
UACGAAGGGGGCUAGCGUUGCUCGGAAUCACUGGGCGUAAAGCGCACGUAGGCGGCUUUUUAAGUCAGGGGUGAAAUCCCGGGGCUCAACCUCGGAACUGCCUUUGAUACUGCAAGUCUCGAGUCCGAUAGAGGUGGGUGGAAUUCCUAGUGUAGAGGUGAAAUUCGUAGAUAUUAGGAAGAACACCGGUGGCGAAGGCGGCCCACUGGAUCGGUACUGACGCUGAGGUGCGAAAGCGUGGGGAGCAAACAGG